rnacentral:rRNA from 1 species
AGAUUGAACGCUGGCGGCAUGCCUUACACAUGCAAGUCGAACGGCAGCACGGACUUCGGUCUGGUGGCGAGUGGCGAACGGGUGAGUAAUAUAUCGGAACGUACCCUGGAGUGGGGGAUAACGCAGCGAAAGUUGCGCUAAUACCGCAUACGAUCUACGGAUGAAAGUGGGGGAUUCGCAAGAACCUCAUGCUCGUGGAGCGGCCGAUAUCUGAUUAGCUAGUUGGUAGGGUAAAAGCCUACCAAGGCAUCGAUCAGUAGCUGGUCUGAGAGGACGACCAGCCACACUGGGACUGAGACACCGGCCCAGACUCCUACGGGAGGCAGCAGGUGGGUAAUUUUGGACAAGUGGGGGACCAACCCGUGACUCCAGCAAUCGCCGUCGUGAGUGAAGAACGGUCCGUUCGGGUUAGUAAACGUCUUC